rnacentral:lncRNA from 10 species
UCUCACUCCUAAGUGGGAGUUGAACAAUGAGAAUACAUGGACACAGGGAGGGGGACAUCCACACCCAGGCCUGUCGGGGGGUUCGGGGGAGAGCAUUAGGCCAAAUGCCUAAUGCAUGUGGGGCUUAAAACCUAGAUGACGGGUUGGUAGGUGCAGCAAACCACCAUGGCACGUGUAUACCUAUGUAACAAACCUGCACAUUCUGCACAUGUAUCCUAGAACUUAAAGAAAAAUUUAAAAAUAAAAAAGCAAACAAAAGAAAUGUGAGUCUCAACACAUUGGGUACAGUGUACACUGCUCAGGUGAUGGGUGCAUGAAAAUCUCAGAAAUCACCACUAAAUAGCUUAUUCACGUAACGAAACACCACCUGUUCCCGAAAAGCCUACUGAAAUAAUAAAAAGAAAGAAAGAAAUGUGAGUCUCGGGCCCCACCCAGCCCCGAGUUGGGGGAGCGGCCAUCCAGGUUUGCCAUCUCUCUCAGGGACCCUCCCGUUCUUCAGCUCGGCGGGAGACCUCAGCUCUCCAGUGCCUGCCUCUGCAGGUGCUCUUCCAAUGCCCCAAACCCCACUGUCCCCAGCACAGCUCGGCGUCCUGCUCCAGUGCCCCCUUCCUCCCAGCCCCCGCUUCUGUAAUAAGCUGGGGCUCCCACCUCCCACUUCCUUCGGCCUCUAAAUCAAGGGUGGCCAACACUUUUCAUCUCUCUGCUUCCAAAGUGUCACAGAGACAGCCUGGCGUGGCGUAUUGGGAAAGGCUCUGAUGAUGAGGUUAGGAAUAGGAGAAGGGGCCAUGAGUUUCCCCAUGAUCUAAGCAACUCCAUCAUCUCAUUCUGCUCACAGAGCUCAGCUGUGGUCCCCCCCAAGUGACCCUCGGAUAUGUUCCCACCCCCAAACCUUUGCCUGUGCUGUUCCCCCUGCCUGAACACCCUUCCUGCUCAUCUCCUGACUCCUCAACUCUCUACCCAUAACCCUCCCUGGCCACCUCUUCCAGUCCAUCCCCUUCUACCUCCCUUUUUUUCGUCUUGAGACAGAGUUUUGCUCUGUUGCCCAGGUUGGGGUGCAGUGGUGAGAUGUCGGCUCACUGCAACCUCUGCCUCCCAAGUUCAAGCGAUUCUCCUGCCUCAGCCUCCCUGAGUAGCUGGGAUUACAGGUACACACCACCAUGCCCGGCUAAUUUUGUAUUUUUGGUAGAGAUGCAACACCACAUUGGCCAGGCUGUUCUUGAACUCCUGAUCUCAAGUGAUCUGCCCACCUCAGAGUCCCAAAGUGCUGUGAUUACAGGUGUGAGCCACCAUGCCCAGCUGGUUUCUACCUCCCUUUUAAUCUCUUUCUCGGCAGUUAUUCCUUUGUAGCACUCAUAAGUUGUAAUUAUUUUUAUUAAUGUGUGCUUAAAUUGUUAACAUUCACUUUUUUCCCCAGCCAGAAAACUCCAGGAGGGCAGAGAUCUACCUGAUCCAGCUGGAUCAGCACUUUUGAUGUAAACAGAGAGUCAACAGAUGCCCAAUACAUAUUCAUGGGGCAAACAAACUCGAGCCCAUUGCCAAUGGCCGCCAAGGAUAGGGAGUGAGGGGCAGUGGCUGGCAGCAGAGUCCCCAUCCUGCUGAGGUGGGGGGGUUGGGUUGCUGACAAGGAGCCCGGCUUUGGAUCAGGCUUCAGUGGUUUGAAGUCUGUCUCUUCCAUGCCCUGAUCCCAUAAGUUGUGCUAGUGUAAGCCUGUUUCCCAAUCUGUAAAAAGGAGGCCAGACUUACCCCAUGGGCUGUGUAAGGGUGAACUGGGAUCACAUGUUCUACUCCUGCUCCUUCUCCAGCACCAAAAGACCCUGGUCCCUCCCUCUUCAAUUCCUUGAAGAUUCUAGAACUGACUUUUUUUUUUUUUUUUUUGAGAUGGUGUCUCACUCUGCUGCCCAGGCUGGAGGGCAGUAGUGUGAUCUCAGCUCACUACAACCUCUGCCUCCCGGGUUCAAGCAAUUCUCUUGCCUCUGCCCCCCAGUAGCUGGGAUUAUAGGCACGUGCCACCACGCCUAGCUGAUUUUUGUAUUUUUAGUACAGAUGGGGUUUCACCAUGUUGGCCAACCUGGUCUUAAACUCCUAACCUCAAGUGAUCCGUCUGCCUCAGUGUCCAAAAGUGCUGGGAUUACAGACGUGAGCCACCGCACCCGGCCCAGAACUGACUUUACUCUGUCCACCUGCAGGCUGCUCUUGGCAACUUUGCCGUUCGCGUAGACGGGUCUUCCCAGCCCUGGCUCAGGCCUCCUUGUCCUCAUCUCCUUCAACGAGCUUGUUGUCCAUCCACCCCCUUCUCCCGGCAGCCCAGUGCCUGCUGCUAAGGGGUUGAAUUGUGUCCCUCCAAUAAAAUAUGUUCACAUCCUAACUCCUGGUACACGUGAAUGUGACCUUAUGUGCAAACAGGGCCUUUGCAGACAUCAUCAAAUAAAAAUGGGGUCAUUAGAGUAUCCACCCUAGUCCAAUACAACUGGCGUCCUUAUAAAAAGAAGAGAAGAGACGCAGAGACAGAGGAGGAGACCAUGUGACAGACAGAGACUAGAGGCAAGAUAUCUAUGUGCUCAGGACUGCCUGUGACACCAGAAGCUGAGAAGCAUUUGGCUGAUUCUCCCCCUAGGGUCUUCAAGAACAGCAUGCUCCUGCCACACCUGGACCUCGGACUUCUGGCCUCUAGAAUGGUGAGAAUAAGCUUCUGUUUCCAGCCCUGCAGCCUGUGGUGCUUUGUUUUGACAGCCACAGGAAUAUGCACACCCAGUCUCCUCCAAGGCCUCAUCACAUCAGCCACAGCUCCUCCAGAUCUCAGCUUCACGCUCCCUCUCCCACCUGCCUCUGCCUCUCUUCCCAGCUCUCUUCCUCUAGCCCUUGAUUCCCAUCGAUUCUCCAUCCCCACUGAGACCUACAAUCUUUGAAGGUGGGAACCAUGACUGUCUUGUUCACAACCUCCCCCAAUCCCAACACUACAUGAACAUGAAAGGGAUUCAAUGAAAGUGAUACGAACAGAUCACGCAGUCACGUGCUAUACACAGUAACACCGAAGGAUAAAUGCUCCUCAAAAGCUCCACGAAGGCUGGAAGCACUGGCUCACACCUGUAAUCCCAGCACUUUGGGAGGCUGAGGCAGGUGGAUCACCUGAGGUCAGGAGUUCAAGACCAGCCUAGCCAACAUGGUGAAAUCCCAUCUCUACUUAAAAUUUAAAAAAUUAGCUGGGUGUGGUGGUGCGCCCCUAUAAUCCCAGCUACUUGGGAGGCUGAGGCAGGAGAAUUGCAUGAACCUGGGAGAUGGAGAUUGCAGUGAGCCAAGAUCGUGCCAUUGCACUCCAGCCUGGGCGACAAGAGUGAAACUCUGUCUGAAAACAAACAAACAAACAAACAAAAAAAACAACGCCAUGAAGAUCGUUCUGUUCAGGAUAUUAAGCCAGAAAGCCCCAAUUCACUAGAGAUCAAGACCAUCCUACAUUCAAUAGACCCCCUUGGGUUUCAUUAUCCAGAGCCUAAGAUGCCCUUUCGCAGGGCCAUUAGUAAAACAAACCGAGAACCUGGGCAUAUAUUCAGGGAAAAAGGGCUGCAACCCAGCAAAGACACCUGUACAGCACCACUGCAUCAUUUUCAUGGUUCCAAACAGGUCUAGGGGGAAAGUCCAACCCCUGGCAUACAUCUCCGCUCAUUUAUAGGUUGUUUAAAGCUAAAACCUAAAGACUAUUAUCUAUGAGUACAGCUUUUUUUCUUGUUCUUCUUUUCCUAUUGAAAACUAUCAUUUAAGGGUAUUCUGAUGUGGUUUGAAUGUCUUGUGUGUCUCAUUACAGGAUUUUUUUUUCUUUAAGGGAAGAGAUGAACUUAUUAUGACUUAGAAUUUAUCUGGGAUGGGGUUUUCCAAGUGUCUGUCAUUUGUAUUUUGCUUUUAGGAUUUUUAUCACAUCUGUGUGCCCACAUCAUCACAUAAUAUUCCAGCUCCUCUUUUCCAUGUUUUUUUUGUGUGCUCUCAGCAUUUGGUGUUACUAAGAUUUUGUUUGUUAAAUACACUGAGUGACAAAGUAUCCAAAGCCAGACACAGUAUUUCCAAUUCCCAUUAACUCAAAAAACAGUUAUUGAAUGCUUUUGUCAUAGGACACACAGCUGCCCACAUGUUGAUUUUACCACCUGCCCCUCAAUUAAUGCACACCAUGCAGUGUCGUUGAAAAAAUAAGGCAUUUGGAAUCUCUUCUACUACUAAUUACCAGAUAAUCGUGUACAUUCAUGUAUACACAGGCAAGCCUGACUAUGCACCAGAGCCAUGUACACCUGAUACUAGGUACCUGAUACCAUGUACCAGACCCAGUACACUCAACCCUUAAAGCAAGAUUCUCUUGCCCACACUGGCCAGCAGGACAAACCUCUGUGUCCCAGCACACACUGGGAUGCCUCAAUCCACCAGGAGUUUGUCUGCUGUAAUUCACUGUAAUGAUCAUUACAGCACACAUUUGCAAUAAUGGUUUACUCUUCAUAUAUAAAUUAGAAAGGCUCCGAGGACCCUCUCAAUAACAGCAUUCUUAGUUGCCUGUUCUAUACCUUUCUGGUUUCUCUAUUGAUAUAUAAUUUGUAUAUAAUAAAAUUCACUCCUUUAACAUAUAUAAUUGAAUGGUGGUUAGUGUAUGCAGAGUCGUGCACCUAUCCGCACAAUCAAUUUUGGAACAUUUUCUUCACCCCCGAAGGAAACCCCAUAACUGUUAGGAGUCACUACACACUCCCCAACCCCAGGCCCUGGCAAACACUAACCUACUUUCUGUUUCUAUGAAGUGACCUAUGUUUUGGUUUGUUUCU